GUGUCUUGGUUUACAGAGUCGCUUUCUUUGAUUAUCUCCAUCUCGGUGACAGAUAAUCAGAAAGAACAACAGACUCGGUGAAGAACCUUGUCGAAAGUGGAACAUUUUGCUUUUAAAGCAAUGGAGGAGUACAAUUCCGGAGAGGAGGUGUCCUUCAACGCAGAUGAGGCCAGUGUCUCAGUUAAAGAGUGUAUCGAAGCCAUCAUUGGAGGACUAGAUUACAACCAGAACAAAGUGAACCAGUGGACUGCCAGCAUCGUGGAGCACUCUCUCACCCAACUGGUCAAGCAAGGGAGACCAUUCAAGUUCAUAGUGAACUGUGCCAUCAUGCAGAAGAGUGGUGCUGGUCUCCACACGGCCAACUCCUGCUACUGGGACACUGCUACUGAUGAGACCACCACAGAACAUCAUUGUGUGCAGCGCUGUCCGUGUUGCUGAAGCUGCAACAUGAUUAGACAUUUGACUGAAAAGUGAUGUUGACGAAAUCCCUGGAAGCUGCACGGUCAGGUGGGAGAACCGCACCAUGUACUGUGUGGUGAGUGUUUUCGCCGUGGCCUUGACCUGUUAACGUGCCCCCCCCCUCGCACUGAGCUGAACACAACCUGGCAUGCACCAGCACCACCAAGCCUCGAAGAUCCAAGCUGAUUACCCAUGCAAAUAAAUGUCUGUUGUACAACAUCUUUCAACCCCACACUCUCAAACUUUGACCACUCCCAAUGGGAACCAUAGGAUGGGAAAUUGUGAUGUUGCUAUAAGUGGUGGAUACAUAGUGUUGUCUGUGUGUAAAUGUAAAUAGACCAGUAGUUCUAGAGAUAUGCUCAGCAUGGACUUAGAAAAUGGAACUGACCACACUGGACAUGUGGAAUAUUAAUGACUAAAUUAAAUACAUCCCAUUUACAGUUUCAACAGUGUGUUGUAGUUGAACCUCUAUAAAAAAUAAUAAUAAUUGGAGUCUCAAAGCAGAGGUCAGGUUUAAUACAUUCCUAACAGAGUGCAGAGAGAGACAUUGGAGGUUCCGUUGGAGCAUUGCAGGUUUAUGACGGUGUACUUUCUCUUUAAGAAUGUGUAUUAUAUUUAUUCUAAGAUCAUUCCCUCUGGAUUGUUGAAGUUGUAGCUCUCCUGUAUGUUGUAUCACAUUUACCUCACUAGCCCUUAUAUAAUUUGUGAUAUUAAAUGGACUGAAAAUGCUCAUGACACUACAAAUAUGACUUGUGACUGACCGUGUUUGUACAUUGACCUUUGUCAUGAAAUGUAUUAUUUAACUAUCGGCACAUGAUUUCCUGGUGUUUAAUUGAGUCUCACCAGUAAAGCAGGUUGACAGAAUAGCUAAUGAGGUUUAGGAUGGGGUGAAACAAGUGCAACUGCUGGUUUCUUACCUUACACACAUUCCUGUACAUAAGGGGGUUGAGGCAGUAGUUAUGGUGAUUCUCUUUUGUUGUUACAAAUUGUCUAUUUGCUGCAUUGUUGUUGUAAUAAAUUCUAUGUACCAGAUGGAUCGAGAGGAAUUAGGAUGCUUACUAAUCACAGAUUUUUAAAACGAGCACUGCAAAUCUUCUUUAAGCCUUUAAUGUCUAAACAUAGACUCACCUCAUCUAUUAAAACUCACAUGACUA